rnacentral:rRNA from 1 species
AGAAUGUGGGAGAGGUAGAUGGAAUUUCUGGUGUAGGGGUAAAAUCCGUAGAGAUCAGAAGGAAUACCGAUUGCGAAGGCGAUCUACUGGAACAUUAUUGACGCUGAGACGCGAAAGCGUGGGGAGCAAACAGGAUUAGAUACCCUGGUAGUCCACGCCCUAAACGAUGUACACUAGUUGUUGUGAGGCUCGACCUUGCAGUAAUGCAGUUAACACAUUAAGUGUACCGCCUGGGGAGUACGGUCGCAAGAUUAAAACUCAAAGGAAUAGACGGGGACCCGCACAAGCGGUGGAGCAUGUGGUUUAAUUCGACGAUACACGAAGAACCUUACCUGGACUUGACAUAGUAAGAACUUUCUAGAGAUAGAUUGGUGUCUGCUUGCAGAAACUUAUAUACAGGUGCUGCACGGCUGUCGUCAGCUCGUGUCGUGAGAUGUUGGGUUAAGUCCCGCAACGAGCGCAACCCUCGUCCUUAGUUGCUAACAGUUCGGCUGAGAACUCUAAGGAGACUGCCUACGCAAGUAGGAGGAAGGUGAGGACGACGUCAAGUCAUCAUGGCCCUUACGUCCAGGGCUACACACGUGCUACAAUGGGAUAUACAAUGAGCGGCAAUACGGUGACGUGGAGCAAAUCUUAUAAAAUAUCUCUCAGUUCGGAUUGUAGUCUGCAACUCGACUACAUGAAGUUGGAAUCGCUAGUAAUCGUAGAUCAGCUAUGCUACGGUGAAUACGUUCCCGGGUCUUGUACUCACCGCCCGUCACACCAUGGGAGUUGAACUCAUUCGAAGCGGGGAUGCUAAAGUAGCUACCUUCCACAGUGGAUUCAGCGACUGGGGUGAAGUCGUAACAAGGUAACCGUAGGAGAACCUGCGGUUG